rnacentral:lncRNA from 1 species
AGAGGAGCUGACAAUUUAAACCCUGGAGUAAUCAUCAUAAAAAUUAGAUAUUAUUAACAUUAGAUAUUUUUAUUCCCACAUUUUAAGGAACAGUGAUUAAAACAAAAUGACUGUUCUUUUAUCUGUAUAGCUGAGGGGCAAUAGCAUCUGAAAGCAAUGUCCACAUCUCCCUUCCUGGCUCCUAUGAUGGAAGCAUCAUGCUUCCAGCUACAUUUUUUAUAAUGCAAGUUGAACUGAACAUGUCACUGUGGGUCAGGUGUCUCAAUGCCAUAAUCAAUUUCCUGGGCAGGUCUGUCAUUUGAUGUUUUCAUAGGCUGGGGCUUGGAAAACUACUACAUCUGUGGUUCUAAAUCUUUGGGUUGAGACCUUUGGAGCUUGUCAAACUACCCUCUUACAGUGGUCACCUAAGAUCAUUGGAAAACACAGAUAUUUACAUUAGAAUUAAUAACAGUAGCAAAAUUACAGCUAUGAAGUAGUAACAAAAAUAAUUUUAUGGUUAAGGGUCACGAGAACAUGAAGAACUGUAUUAAAGGAUCACAGCAUUAGGAAGGUUGAGAACCGCUGUCCCACACAAUGAGCAAAUUCAAAGUGAACACACCUGGCCAUGCCUGAAUGCUCACAGAAACAGAAACACAGACAAAGCCAGCCAAACUGCAUACUCAAAUGCUGUAAUCCAAAUGCCAUUUCAGGGCCAAAGGAAUUGGAGACUUAGAUAAAAGCCUGCAAGGUUGUUACAUUUGUCCCCAGGAGUUAAUACAAAAGCAUCUUUAUUCAUCUAGAUGAGAACAUGUUUAUCAGACUUUCUGAGAAAGCCACCUUGCCUGCACUGCCUCAGGCUCCAGGAAUCUCUACAGUGCUGAGAAGCUUGAUUCCACAAUAAUCCAUCAGAGAGGUGCAUUUCAUAGGUGAAGCAAAUUGGGUGACUGAGGUCAAAAGGGACAGGCUAGGGGACUCCAUGUCCUAAGCUCUCAUCUCAUUCAGUAGUUUCCCACUCCCUGUUUACUUUUGGGAAUUCAUUUUAACUCCUGGCACAGGGACCAUGUGACGCCAUCCCUCUAUCUCCUCCCUUCUACCAAACAGCACAACUGAACUGUAACUUACAGACAGUGAGAUGAAGGGAAAACAGAUUUUCCUGUCUUACUUUUUGACCCCUGGGUUCUAUUUUGUGUGUACUCUGCCCACAGUCCAAAGGGUAAAUAUGGGGAAGUGUGGAGAAGCUGAGAACAUGGAGUCAAGGGGCCAGACCAAGAUCCCCAGAUCCCCAUGCUCCUGGCUGGCUACAACCAAUUCCUUAUCGCACCUCUGCUGGCCUAACUUGACCCUCCCACCUGAAAAAGCCAGCUCAGGCCCCUGUGCCCAAAGCCCUGGUGAGCCUCUUGCUCUGGUCUAUCGAGGAGAG